GAAUUUUGGACAAUGGGCGCAAGCCUGAUCCAGCAAUGCCGCGUGCAGGAAGAAGGCCCUAUGGGUUGUAAACUACUUUUGUCAGGGAAUAAACCUCUCGAUUUACUCGGGAGCUGAAGGUACCUGAAGAAUAAGCACCGGCUAACUCCGUGCCAGCAGCCGCGGUAAUACGGAGGGUGCAAGCGUUAUCCGGAAUCACUGGGUUUAAAGGGUGCGUAGGUGGCAUCGUAAGUCAGAAGUGAAAGUUUGCGGCUUAACCGUAAAAUUGCUUUUGAUACUGCGAUGCUUGAAUCAGGUUGAGGUUGGCGGAAUGUGGCAUGUAGCGGUGAAAUGCUUAGAUAUGCCAUAGAACACCAAUUGCGAAGGCAGCUGACUGGACCUGUAUUGACGCUGAGGCACGAAAGCGUGGGGAGCGAACAGG
rnacentral:rRNA from 1 species